UACGGAAGGUGCAAGCGUUGUUCGGAAUCAUUGGGCGUAAAGGGCGCGUAGGUGGUUCUGUAUGUCUACCGUGAAAGCAUACGGCUCAACUGUAUUUUGUCGGUAGAAACUGCAGGACUUGAGGCUGGGAGGGGCUGGUGGAAUUCCCUGUGUAGCGGUGAAAUGCGUAGAGAUGGGGGAGAACACUCGUGGCGAAGGCGGCCAGCUAGACCAGUUCUGACACUGAGGCGCGACAGCGUGGGGAGCAAACAGG
rnacentral:rRNA from 1 species